GAUGAGGGCAGCAUAAGAAAAGCCACAGCAUCAAGAAAGCCUGACAAAGUUCCAAGCAGCAAAGAUCCUUUCGAAGUGGAUGCCUACUGUUGCCUUGCAGAGAUCCGCAUUGUGUGUCAUGUGAACAGAAGCUGGACAUGACAAGAGAAUGUAAGAGAACAUCAAAUAUGAACAAGAAGAAAUCUUUCCUUACCUAUUUGUGGAGUGGCCCUUUGUCAGCAUCUGCUCACUCACAAUGGCUGUCAAACAGUCAAGCGAUAGGACGUAAAGUACCGCUAAUCGUUCCAGCGCACGACAGUGCUUCAAAGUUCUCAUGAAAGUCUUUAUGGGAAGUACCAACCAAAUGGAACAAGAACCUGAUGCUGCCACAGGGAGUCCUUAAGCCAGAUUUGGAGUCCCACUCCUGCCAUUGGCCUGCUUUCUUGAUGAGUAUACAAGGAACAUUUUUAAUUCUGAGGCCCCAGAAAUUCCUAUGGACAGUACCUGAAGCUGAGAUUGGAUGCAUUUGGUCAGGACAUUCGCCUGGGAUAGGCUGAGGCCAAAAUCAAGUCAGAUGUCACACUGAGAAAGGAGCAAGUGCCAGCUGCACAUGCCUCUUGCCCAAGGUAUUAGGGAAUUUGGACCCAGGUGGUUGGAUUCUCCCACGAAAGCUCUGCAGUGCACUAGGAACAUUUCAGCUCAUAUCAGAUAGCAACAAAUCAAUCCUUCAAAGACAAAAGAAAAAAGAAUAAACCAAAGACCCUCCAAAUAACACAAAGGUAACUAAGGAGCUGAAGAGGCAAAUAGAUGUUUGGCAGGGUUUUAAAUGUGGUCUUUCAGCAUGGGCACUCACCACCUGCUAGUGACUGUUGGCACCUUUGGGCUCCUUCAGGCUCAGACUCUUUCUAGACUAAGUCAGCAUCAGGCAGACUAACAUAGCCUUAAAAUCUGCAUGUUUGGUGUGGCAUCCCUCGUGGAAUUCACCUAGUGGAUGGCUUUGACCUGUUGUGAGCAUUAACUAUAUACUUUUUUCAGUACAAUUCUGUCUUUACUCACUUGGCUCAUCCCACUGAGAUGUGAAGUUCUGCAUAUAUUUACCUUGCUUACUGAUCCUGGCCUGUCUCAAUAGAAUAAUGGAUUUUGACCAAAGCUGUGCCUUACUGGGUAUGAUAAAAGAAUUCCAGCAAUGGGUAUCAGACACUAGUGUUAGGUAAUAGUUGAUUUUUUUUUUCUCACUUUGGAAAUGUGAUUUCUUGAGUUGGGAAGGAAAAAAAAGUCCAUUUCAAUGCCAUAAAUACUAAAAUCCUUAUUACAUUCUAUGGCUGUACUCUGUAUAACCAGCACCUUGUUGUUCAGAUCAUUCAGACCUAACACAGCAGGCUGUGGCUUGUUCCUAACCUGUACACUCUGACCUUCUCCCAGUGAAAAUCAGAUUUGGUUAAGACCUGGGACUCAUUCUGACACACAGGCAAAAGAGUCAUAGGAGCUGGAAGGUGUUUCCAGAUUCAGCAAGCUAGGAGCACUGCAGCCAGGCCUUUCAGCUGAGCUCUGCAGUGCUGCUGGUUCCAUGUUCAUCCAGUAUUGAAUGUGUCUGGUUUGCUGGUUUGAUUAUUAAACAAAAGGAUGAGUUGAGUCAUAGACUCUUGGAGACGUGUGGAAGAUAGAAAAAGGGAUUUCUGUCCUUCCUGCCUCAGAAGAAAUAAACAUAAC